GGGCCCAUAGCUCAGCGGUAGAGUCCCCGGCUCAUAACCGGUUUGUCCCUGGUUCGAAUCCAGGUAGGCCCA
rnacentral:tRNA from 1 species